GUUUACAAUAAUGAGAAAAUAACAUAUUUAUGCUAAAUAACCUAGAAUAAUAUUAAAAGGAAAUAAAUUCUAAAAAAAAAAAAGUGUCCUAAAAUAUCUAAAUUACCAAAAAUAAGAAAUUGGACCAAAAUAAAACUUCUCUAGAUCACAUCAUAAGUACUAUAAGCAUGAAGGGUAUUUGUUCCGGGAAAAUAGGUUAUGUAUUCCUAACUGUUCGAUGUGAGAGUUGCUAGUAAAAUAAGCACAUAGUAGUCGAUUGAUGGGGCAUUUUGGGGUACAAAAAACUUCACGGAUGUGAGGGGAGCAUUUCUAUUGGCUUAAGAUGAAAAGUGACAUUGAGAAAAUUUGUAGUCGAUGCAUAACUUGUAAGAGGACUAAGUCUAGAGUUUUACUCCAAGGAUUAUAUACACCAUUACGUGCACCUAGUAAACCAUGGAUUGACAUUUCAAUGGAUUUUGUUUUGGGUCUACCUAGGACUAAGAAAGGACACGAUUCAAUUUUUGUGAUGAUGGAUAGAUUUAGUAAGAUGACGCAUUUCAUACUAUGUCAUAAAACUGAUGACGCCACUUACAUAGCAAAUUUGUUUUUUAAAGAGAUAGUGUGCUUACAUGGGGUCCCUAAAAGUAUAAUGUUAGAUAGGGAUGUAAUAUUUUUGAGUCAUUUUUGGCGAGUUUUGUGGGGUAAGUUAGGCACUAAACUGUUGUUUUUUUACAACUUGUAAUCCACAAACCGAUGGACAAACUGAGGUAGUCAAUAGGACUAUGACUCAAAUGUUACGUAUGAUGAUAAAUAAGAAUUUGAAAGGUUGGGAGGAGUGUUAAUCAUUUGUUGAGUUUGCUUAUAAUCGAUCUGUUCAUUCUACUACUUCAUUUUCUCCUUUUGAAAUUGUUUAUGAUUUUAAUCCACUAACUCCAUUGGACAUAAUACAAUUACAUGUGAAUGAACGUUGUAGUUUAAAUGGUAAAAGAAAAGCUAAACUGCUAAAGUCACUUCAUGAAAAUGUUAAGUUGCAAAUCAAGAACAAGGGUAAGCUCAUUGCCUCACAGGCAAACAAAGGCAGGAAAAGCAUUACAUUUAAACCAGGUGACUGGAUUUGGGUGCAUUUUAGAAAGGAGCGCUUUCCAGAGUACAAGAAAUCAAAGUUGCAACCACGAAAAGACGGUCAAUUUCUAGUCAUUGAGAAGAUCAAUGACAAUGCUUAUAAGCUGGACCUUCCAGGUGAGUAUAAUGUUUCAGGAACAUUUAAUGCGUUUGAUCUCUCUCUCUCUCUCUCUCUCUCUCUCUCUUUGAUGCAGGUGCAGAUUCGAGAACGAACCCUUUUGAAGAGGGAGGAGAUGAUGUGAUCCAAGAGCCGAGCGCAAAAAGACGAGCCCGACACGAGACCCUUUAAUAAUUGAAGAUGUUCCU
rnacentral:lncRNA from 1 species